rnacentral:rRNA from 1 species
CGGGGCGUCUCACACGAGGUGGUGCAUGGUUGUCGUCAGCUCGUGUCGUGAGAUGUUGGGUUAAGUCCCGCAACGAGCGCAACCCUAUUGUUAGUUGCUACGCAAGAGCACUCUAGCGAGACUGCCGUUGACAAAACGGAGGAAGGUGGGGACGACGUCAAAUCAUCAUGCCCCUUAUGUCCUGGGCUACACACGUACUACAAUGGCGGUAAACAGAGGGAGGCAAGACCGCGAGGUGGAGCAAAUCCCUAAAAGCCGUCCCAGUUCGGAUUGCAGGCUGAAACUCGCCUGUAUGAAGUUGGAAUCGCUAGUAAUCGCGGAUCAGCAUGCCGCGGUGAAUACGUUCCCGGGCCUUGUACACACCGCCCGUCACACCAUGAGAGUCGGGAACACCCGAAGUCCGUAGCCUAACAGCAAUGAGGGCGCGGCCGAAGGUGGGUUUGAUAAUUAGGGUGAAGUCGUAACAAGGUAGCCGUAUCGGAAGGUGCGGCUGGAUCACCUCCUUUAUG